GAUGAAGAACGCAGCGAAAUGCGAUAAGUAGUGUGAAUUGCAGAAUUCAGUGAAUCAUCGAAUCUUUGAACGCAUAUUGCGCCCUUUGGUAUUCCAAAGGGCAUGCCUGUUCGAGCGUCAUUUGUACCCUCAAGCUUUGCUUGGUGUUGGGCGUCUUGUCUCUAGCUUUGCUGGAGACUCGCCUUAAAGUAAUUGGCAGCCGGCCUACUGGUUUCGGAGCGCAGCACAAGUCGCACUCUCUAUCAGCAAAGGUCUAGCAUCCACUAAGCCUUUUUUUCAACUUUUGACCUCGGAUCAGGUAGGGAUACCCGCUGAACUUAAGCAUAUCAAUAAGCGGAGGA
rnacentral:misc_RNA from 1 species